CCUACGGGUGGCAGCAGUGAGGAAUAUUGGACAAUGGUCGGAAGACUGAUCCAGCCAUGCCGCGUGCAGGAUGAAGGUCCUAUGGAUUGUAAACUGCUUUUGUAAGGGAAGAAUAAGGAGUACGUGUACUUUGAUGACGGUACCUUACGAAUAAGCAUCGGCUAACUCCGUGCCAGCAGCCGCGGUAAUACGGAGGAUGCGAGCGUUAUCCGGAAUCAUUGGGUUUAAAGGGUCCGUAGGCGGGCUGAUAAGUCAGAGGUGAAAGCGCUUAGCUCAACUAAGCAACUGCCUUUGAAACUGUCAGUCUUGAAUGAUUGUGAAGUAGUUGGAAUGUGUAGUGUAGCGGUGAAAUGCUUAGAUAUUACACAGAACACCGAUAGCGAAGGCAUAUUACUAACAAUUUAUUGACGCUGAUGGACGAAAGCGUGGGGAGCGAACAG
rnacentral:rRNA from 1 species